ACGACGCUCUUCCCAUCCCCGUCUUUCAGCUGCCCGUCCAUGCUGACGUUCAGUCCGAUUUCAUUCAGUUUGCCCUCUGUCCUCUGCCACUCAAAUCCAGCUUGGUUGAUUUCU